UUGCAAAAGUCAUACUUGUUGUUCAACACAUGACAAAGACUUUCCAGAAAUAGUUGUUUUUUGGUAGAUUUUGACACCACAUUUCACAAUUCAGCAACACUUUUCUGACCCCCCCCCACACGCUGCUUUAAUGUAACUUCUUUGCACAAUCCCAGCCGCCGCCCCCUGACCCCGGCAGAGGAGUUGUAUGAAUGACGCAGGACCACUCAGCCCUGCACGAGCUGAGACAUUCCCUGGAGAGCGCAGGAUAUGGCAUUACAAACUGCUCCGUGAAAUGCGAGGAGCUUCGAAAUCACCAGCAAUUUCCCAAGCACUCAUUCUUUCCUCCAUCGCGUCAAGAGUCAGUGACAAUAAAUGGGUAGUGUCAGUGGUUGCCAGAUCUUUACCAAGUAUCAGAAAGAGGAGAAGAAGAAGAAGAAGAAGAAGAAGAAGAAGAAGAAGAAGAAUGUCUGCUCUAUAAAAUAACCGUAAAGCUAUUAUCGUUAAAGCCAACUAUAAAGUUUUGCCUCUUAAGGACUUUAAAAGCUUUUCUAAGCAACACCAUCUGUGAAGGAACAUCAGGCUUUGUUUGAAAUGCUCUUGAUCACACUUGAUCCUUUGUACUCAUAAAAUUCGACCGCAAACAGCUUCUCUUUCCGGGCUGGAAUAUGACUCCCAUUCACGAGAGGCGUCCCCCCGUGAAGUCCUCAGGUUCAGGGCA